rnacentral:rRNA from 1 species
GUGGGGAAUAUUGGACAAUGGGGGGAACCCUGAUCCAGCCAUGCCGCGUGUGUGAAGAAGGCCUUUUGGUUGUAAAGCACUUUAAGCGAGGAGGAGGCUACCGAGAUUAAUACUCUUGGAUAGUGGACGUUACUCGCAGAAUAAGCACCGGCUAACUCUGUGCCAGCAGCCGCGGUAAUACAGAGGGUGCAAGCGUUAAUCGGAUUUACUGGGCGUAAAGCGCGCGUAGGUGGCCAAUUAAGUCAAAUGUGAAAUCCCCGAGCUUAACUUGGGAAUUGCAUUCGAUACUGGUUGGCUAGAGUAUGGGAGAGGAUGGUAGAAUUCCAGGUGUAGCGGUGAAAUGCGUAGAGAUCUGGAGGAAUACCGAUGGCGAAGGCAGCCAUCUGGCCUAGUACUGACACUGAGGUGCGAAAGCAUGGGGAGCAAACAGGAUUAGAAACCCGUGUAGUCC